rnacentral:ncRNA from 1 species
GGGGCGAAAUCCGAAAAGCCAAAUGAGUAGGAA